UUUUCUCUGGCGGAGCCUUGUUGUUGACGACCAUGGAUGUCGAGGAUUUUCCAUCCCCUGUAAAUGCGGACGCAGUUAAAAAAUACUUCGUAUAAGAGACCCGUUGGACGAAAAGAAUAAAAUAGUCCAGGCAAAAAUGGGCAUCCCGGCGAACCAAAGAAAAAUGAAAAAGGUUCGGGCAAAAAUGGGCAUCCCGGCGAACCAAAGAAAAAUGAAAAAGGUUCGGGCAAAAAUUAGGGAUAAAA
rnacentral:lncRNA from 1 species